CCUAAUUAGAUCGAAUUAAAUUCAAAUCGAUUUGAAUUUCAAACACCUUAUGAUACCUAAACCCACCUCCUUCUGCUCUCCACUCAAAUUCUAAAUUUGCAUGGAGAAUUCACAUGUUAAAACCUUGUUGUCACCCAUUAUUUUGGAUUAGGAUGAGUUUGGUUCAAUUUGAAUUCAAAGGAAGUUUGUAUUUAAACUAAAUAACCACUUGAUCCCUAUCCUUAUCUAGUCUCCACGCCAAGCAUAAAACUAUCUCAGAUUUACGCAACAAUUUUAUAGAUGGAAUUACCAUGAGAAAGGUUCUCAGAGGGGGCA
rnacentral:lncRNA from 1 species